CCACGAGGACGGGUAAGAUGGUUAGGAUUUGGAGCAGUCCCUUCAAAGUUAGAAUAUCAAACCAAAGUUGGAAACAAAGUUGCUAACUUAGAGAAACAAGUGUCCACUCAAGCAUAGAAUAUGCUUUCUCAAUCACAAGAGAUUGAACGAUUGAAAGAAGUGGUUGCCACUCUUUUAGCAAGAUUAGAGAAAGAAGGGAAUAACCACGGUAGUAACAGUGUUCAGCAUUCUGCUAAUAUGUUUGCACUACAAACGCAGAAUGAAAAUCCUAGUGUUCAACAUCAUAGCAGUGAUGGAGUACAAAGCAACCAAAAUAUUGCAAGUGUUCGAGGUUCUGACAGUGGGAGGCCACAAAGCAAGCAAAGCAACCAAAAGAAAACUUCAAGUAUUCAAUAUUCUACUAAUCAUUGGUCACAAAGCAAAGACAAGGAAGGUAAAAGGACCAAAGUUACAAAAGAUGAUCAGAAUAGAAUCGAAUUGUUAAGUUGGUUUGAGAUGGAAGAAUAGGUUGUUGCAAUUGCAAAACUUGAGUCAAAAGAUCCAAAUGUAAAGGUCCAUCAUGUGCCCCUUGGUCAUGAAUGCUGGAAAGUUUGGGUGCUUGAUGUUUUUGAGGAUACAGCUUUAUAUCGACCAACUAGGGAGUUUGAAACACUGAGUAUGGCUCAAGGAAGUACAAUUGCAUGGCCUAUCAAGUACAUCAAACAAGUUUAGUUUAUGAACUUUUCGGUACUGCGAAAUUUUGUGGUGUAUGCAGAUUAAUGCCUUAUGUUGGUACUGCUGGUAAAUUGCUCGAACUAAUUGGGAGAUACAAAUUGCAGUUGGAUAGUGGUGCUUGAAACCUUGCAAUUACCCUGCAAUAUAUUUUUGAACUGUAAUAUGUUACUUUUAAACUCAAGUUUGCAGGGACAUGCAAAUGCAAUUGUUUUGUAGUUUAGUUGCAUAUGGCAUGGUAACAAGUUUG